GCCAUUAAAGUGAGAAAGAGAGGGGUAUAUUUCUAAACCCAACACAAUUAUUAACCUUUAAUGGGGAACACAUGGGGAUGGCGGCAGUGCAUGAUUAAUUUUAUAGGUUUGUAUUUGCAUUUGUAUUACACAGCCAUGUUAAAGCCAAAUGAUGUAUGUGACGAUACAGCCUUAAUAUAUCGUCAGUGGGUAUUCUUUUUACAUAACUUGCAGCACUAAACUGCUCCACUAAAUGCUAGGACUCCCCUUUGGUAGCAUAUGCAGGAUUUACUGAGCUGAUAUCUGGUUACUAUAUGAUAUUCUAUCCAUCCAGUCUUCUGGCAAUACUAUUAUUAGUAAUUAUUAUAUAGAGGACAAUGAAUAACCAUUUCCUGUGAGACCUCAAGGAAGAGACAAUACCAGCUUCUUUCUUGAUAACUCCUCGGAACUCAGACUCCAUCUGACCCUGUUUGUUGUAUCCAGCUAACAAAGAUCACAGCAUACAGUAAAAUAAACAUUACACAAAACUUUCACCAAUGGGAAUACAGAUC